UACGGAGGGUGCAAGCAUUAAUCGGAUUUAUUGGGCGUAAAGGGCGCGUAGGCGGGGAUAAUAGUCAGAUGUGAAAUCCUGGGGCUCAACCUCAGAACUGCAUUUGAAACUGUAUCUCUAGAGGGUAGGAGGAGAAAACGGAAUUCCACAAGUAGCGGUGAAAUGCGUAGAUAUGUGGAAGAACACCGGUGGCGAAGGCGGUUUCUAUCUUAUUCCUGACGCUGAGGCGCGAAAGCAAGGGGAUCAAACAGG
rnacentral:rRNA from 1 species